ACAACAACAUUCGGACCGUCGGUCUACUGAGCAAUAUCACCCGCUCGGUGGAAGAUCUUCCCUUUGUCGUAUACC
rnacentral:pre_miRNA from 1 species